UACGUAGGGUGCAAGCGUUAAUCGGAAUUACUGGGCGUAAAGCGUGCGCAGGCGGUGAUGUAAGACAGAUGUGAAAUCCCCGGGCUCAACCUGGGAACUGCAUUUGUGACUGCAUCGCUGGAGUGCGGCAGAGGGGGAUGGAAUUCCGCGUGUAGCAGUGAAAUGCGUAGAUAUGCGGAGGAACACCGAUGGCGAAGGCAAUCCUCUGGGCCUGCACUGACGCUGAGGCGCGAAAGCCAGGGGAGCAAACGGG
rnacentral:rRNA from 1 species